GUCAUUAUUAAUGCAUGUGUGAUUUGAAAUGUAUGAUGUGUUGUUCGUAGCACAUUUAAAGACACUAUACUAUAUUAUUAUAUAAAUGGUUUGGAAAUGCUUUUGAGUAUUAUUAAGUUCUGUGUUUGUGUUGUGUGUAUGUUCCUUGUGGUCAUUGGACCAAUUUGUUUACGGCCAUUUGGCCUCGUUUGGUAAGCCAGUUGGCUUGUAUGGUCAGUCGACCGUUUUUUAAAGCAAGUUGAUCUGAUGUGUGAAAGCCGGUUGGCUUUUGUGAGUUGACCUUAUUUUCUUAAAAAGCAUGUUCACAUGGAAUUAACAAUCUUUGCAAGUUUAUUUUUUGCAGUGCAGUAACUGGACAGUACGAAUGGUAUAUUAAGUAUUGGAGAACAUAAAGUUAAAACACAGUUCGAGAGGUAUAUAACGUGGUGGAGAAUAUUUGGGUAUUCAUUUUAUGUUUCAUAUUAUUUGUAUUCUCUCUUUGUUUUAUUCGAAAGUCCUGUCAAAUACAAGCACUCACUCCUA